UACGUAGGGGGGCUAGCGUUGUCCGGAUUUAUUGGGCGUAAAGAGCGUGUAGGCGGCCAUGUAGGUCCGGUGUGAAAACUCGAGGCUUAACCUCGAGAUGUCAUCGGAAACCAUUUGGCUAGAGUCCGGAAGAGGAGAGUGGAAUUCCUGGUGUAGCGGUGAAAUGCGCAGAUAUCAGGAAGAACACCAAUGGCGAAAAGCAGCUCUCUGGGACGGUACUGACGCUGAGACGCGAAAGCGUGGGGAGCGAACAGG
rnacentral:rRNA from 1 species